GCGUCUGCCUGCGGGUGUGUGGAGAGAUCAGUGUGGCGGCUGCUGCGCCCCCCAGGACUCGCCACCAUGAGCAGCACCUUAGCUAAGAUCGCGGAGAUAGAAGCCGAGAUGGCUCGGACGCAAAAGAACAAGGCCACAGCACACCACUUAGGGCUGCUUAAGGCUCGCCUUGCUAAACUUCGUCGAGAACUCAUUACUCCAAAAGGUGGUGGUGGUGGGCCAGGAGAAGGUUUUGAUGUGGCCAAGACAGGUGAUGCUCGAAUUGGGUUUGUUGGUUUUCCAUCUGUGGGGAAGUCAACACUGCUCAGUAACCUGGCAGGAGUAUAUUCCGAGGUGGCAGCCUAUGAAUUCACUACUCUGACGACUGUGCCUGGUGUCAUCAGAUACAAAGGGGCCAAGAUUCAGCUCCUAGAUCUCCCAGGUAUCAUUGAAGGUGCCAAGGAUGGGAAAGGUAGAGGCCGUCAAGUCAUUGCAGUGGCCCGAACUUGUAACUUGAUCCUGAUUGUCCUGGAUGUCCUUAAACCGUUGGGACAUAAGAAGAUAAUUGAAAAUGAACUGGAAGGCUUCGGCAUUCGCUUGAACAGCAAACCCCCUAACAUUGGCUUUAAGAAGAAGGAUAAGGGAGGCAUUAAUCUCACAGCCACUUGCCCUCAGAGUGAGCUGGAUGCAGAAACUGUGAAGAGCAUUCUGGCUGAAUACAAAAUUCAUAAUGCUGAUGUGACUCUGCGUAGUGAUGCCACAGCUGAUGACCUUAUUGAUGUGGUGGAAGGAAACAGAGUUUAUAUCCCCUGUAUUUACGUGUUAAAUAAGAUUGACCAAAUCUCCAUUGAGGAAUUGGAUAUCAUAUACAAGGUGCCUCACUGUGUCCCCAUCUCUGCCCAUCACCGUUGGAAUUUUGAUGACCUAUUGGAAAAGAUCUGGGACUAUCUGAAAUUAGUGAGAAUUUACACCAAACCCAAAGGCCAGUUGCCAGAUUACACAUCCCCAGUGGUGCUGCCUUACUCCAGGACCACGGUGGAGGAUUUCUGCAUGAAGAUCCACAAAAAUCUUAUCAAAGAAUUUAAAUAG